rnacentral:misc_RNA from 1 species
ACGAUUACGAAGUGAAGAUGCGCGCCAUGAAGCGGUUCAUCGAGGAAGGCGACAAGGUGAAGGUCACCCUGCGCUUCCGUGGCCGCGAGAUGGUCCAUUCCGAACUCGGCCUGCAGGUGUUGAACCGCGUCCGUGGCGAGAUGGAUCCACUCACCAAGAUCGAAUCGAUGCCGCGCAUGGAAGGCCGGCAGAUGAUCAUGGUGUUGGCGCCGAAGUAGUAGUUACUUCGUCGCCUUCGGGGGACGCAGGCGCAGCGUCACGGUACCGGCGCUGCGCGAUUGCUCAGGAUCGAA